rnacentral:lncRNA from 1 species
AGAAAGCCCAAUUCCAUCUGGCCCCUGCAGGUUGGCUCAGCACUGGGGAAUCAGAGUCCCCUCCAUGACCAAGGCACCACUCCACUGACAGGUAUGGUAUCCAUUUGCCCUCUCUUCUUGGAUUCUCAAGCUGGGGCAGAGUCCAUGGCAGCCAAGGGUGGCUUGGAUCUGCCCAUCCCAUUCUCUUCAGACCCUCCUCAGGGAUUAAGGUCAAAGGUGGGAGGAAGAAGGCUUCCAUUGGCCUUUUAUCCUAGAGGUUCUAAUGGAGGGGAAAAGGGGAUAGGAUAUUUUCUAUCCAAUCAGGAUGUUUAGGAGAUAGUCACAUGGAAGUGGAAUGGCCUUUGGACCCAGGAGUCAGGAAACCUGAGUAGCAGUCCUGGUUUUACCAUUUACCCAAUGUGUAUCUUUGGGUAAGUCCUUUCUCCAAUCUAGGACACAGUUUUUUCACCCCUUUUGCAAAAUAAAAAAGUAAAAAGAGGAAAAGAAUGAUUAGAUAGAUGCUGUCUAGAGACCCAUGGUUAUUAGAUUCCUAAUUUUCAUGAUUGUCAGCCCUCUGUCAAGAAAGAAGAUGAGAGUAAUCUUUGCAUAUGUAACUGUGGGUGGGGCUGAACACAUUCAAGAGGAGAGUGCUGGUGGUAAUCCAUAUAGCACUCUCUGAGAGGCAUGACUCAAAGAUGAAAGCCUCUUUUCUAGUCCAAUCUUUGACUCCUAGAGAUUCAAAAUUGAAAGACUCUUAGAGACUAGGUACAUAUGGAAGAAACUGAGGUCCAGAAAGAGGAAGAAAGGGACUUGCCCAAAGUCAUACAGAGAAUCUGUAGCACAGCUGGGUCUGGGCUCCCAGGUCAGUCCUCUUUUUGCUCUAUCCUAGGAGGACUGAGACAUCAAGCAGCAGGACCUGUCCUGUAACUGACCCAGGACAGGUCCUGCUCAUACUAGAGGCAGUCUGGGAUUUUUAGGCAUGGUCCUGAGGACUUCUUCUUUUCUUCUAUUUUUCUUUCAGGUACUUGGCUCACUCUGAGUGUUCAGAGAUUCCUAGACACCUACUUACCCCUAAUUCUUCUGGUCUAUUCCCUCCAAUUCCCUCCAUAAAAACUGACCCAUCCUUUGCAUCAACAAUAGUGGCUUGAUGACGCUCUUCAGUAGAGGAUUUUGCAUUUCAUAUGGGGAAAAAUGAUGUUAUUCUAAGUAAUAUAACAGACCAAGAGAAGAGCUUUCAAAUUCCCUUAAUAUCAUCCCAUAUAGAUAUUUAUGUCUUCUUUCUAUGGGUCUGGUGAACAUUUCUCAACUGAAUGUGAUUUUCUUACAUACACUCCAUUGGAGAGGCAUACCAGUCUAGUUUCAGCUCAACCACUAACUCCUUCCAUUAAUACUGAAGCAAUGUUGUCUAUAAGGCUCCACAAAUUUCAAAGUACUAAUAAUUUUUAGCCCCUUUCAUGCCUCCUUUCCAGCCUUUCUGGAGGUGAAUAAAGUCAGAAAGUGCAUUCAAAAGGCUGUGAACACCUCCAGCUUAUCUAGGUCUUCUUACUGGAGCUGACAGCCAAUGAGUGUAAUGAUACAAAAAAGGUAACAAUCCAUUUCUUUUUCUCCUGCCAUCCCCAACUCAGACUCUGUUAAUCAGCUUGCUUGGCUGGCCUCCAACCAUAGGUCCAGGGGCUGAGACAAGGUCCUUUUGAGCUCCUAUGUGGGAGGCUCUGGAAAGCUUAGCAACACUUUCCAACAACUUUGCCAGGUAAGUAGGUAAGUCUCCUUGUUCUCAUUUCCAGAGAAGACAACUGAAACCCAAAGAAAGACUUGCCCAAGCCAUGAUUGGCUAGUUGAUGGCCAAGACAGCAUUAGAACACAAGUUUGUCGAUUCUGUCAUGCCAUAUUUGGUGACCAUGACUGCUGCUUUUGCUGCUGGGUGGAUUAGGCUGAAUUGGGUAGGUAGAAAAGGAAGUGAGGGAGUGAAAGAGCUUUAGUUUUGAGAUGACUGCCAGAACUUAAAUUGAAGGAGUAUGUUACCUUCUUAACAUUCAAUUAAAAGAAUAGAGCAAGAAAAGACACUGAUUGUUUUCUUGCUGAAAGACAAGGCUGAAUCCCUCUGUCUUACCUGGGCUGGGACAGGGCUUUCCGGCCUCAUGGGGGCAGUUUACCAUUUCUGGUAACCUUGUGAUGUUUGCCACUUUUCAUGACAAUAUUUAAUGUAGACCAGCUACCUGCUCACAGAUCAACUGCCACAGCUGGUAAGGGCAGUAAUUUGACACCAGCAACCUGGGAUUUUUAGCAACAGGAUCUGAUUGUUGCCAAGGGAAUUCUCCCAGAAGUUUCAGACCUGACCCUGCUCCUGGCAGCUUCCUUAUUGCCCUGGUGGCUUGUGGGUUCAGUGAUCCCAAAUGUUGCAUUACAAAGCUAUUGCCUGUUUUUGCCCUCUUUGUUGAUGUGUCUUCCCUUUCCCAGAGGGAUAUACAGAGAAGGGAGGCAAAAUAACCAAUGAGGAAAGCUGUAUAAGGCAUACUGCUGAACUGUAAAAAAUUUAUUGUAUAAACUUUACAAGUCUCCUCCCCAACAGGAGCCUUUGUUAUCUCAUUUAUAACCUAAGUGAGUGAGACUAGAUGAUCUUUAAGGGCACUUUAAUAGCUGCCAUUCUUGAGUCCCUAUGGGACAAGAGGAUCAUGUUAGGCAAGGCUGAGACCACAAGAAAUCAAUGUCACACCUGUCCAGAUCCUGCUAAAUCAAUUGCCAAUAGCUCUUUCUUUCAUUUUGGUCACACAACCACUACUUUUUGAGCAUUUGUUAUGUAUUGAAUACUGAACCAAAGGCUUUACAUGCAUUAUCUCCUGUCAUUCUCACAAUAACCUUAUGAGGUAGGUAUUAUACUUACAUACAUUUUGUGGGUGUAGAAAACUUGAGCUCAGAGAGGUGAAAUGAUGUAUCCAAGGUUGCCUAACUAGCUAAUGGAAGAACUAGGAUUUAAGCUCAUGUUUAACCUCAAAGCCUAUGUGCAUAACCACAACACUGAAAACACAGCUUGGGAGAAUUGAGAAGAGGGAGCAAGGAUGCUGACUCUAGGGUCUGGUACUUUCCUCAAGUCAGGGAGGCAGGAUGAUGACCAAAUUUUCCCCUCUCUGCUGCAUAGAGGAACCCACUGAAGCUUGGGACCCCUAGAAAUGCCAUAGCUACAGGACUCAGGCCUGAUGAGCUUCCAGCUGAGCACUGGGUGUCACUCGGGCUUUACCUGCUUAUCUUCAGGAUCUCUCUUCUGGGUCACAUCUCCCAGGAAGAUCUCACUUCCCCACAGAAGCUCUUGGCCUGGCCUCCUGCAGUGCCACGCUCCGUGUAUUUGACAAGCUGAGUUGGACACUCCAUGUGGUAGAGUGUCAGUUUGUCAAAUACCCCAAGUGCGGCACAUGCUUACCAGCUCUAGGCCAGGGCAGAUGGGAUAUGACGAAUGGACUGCCAGCUGGAUACAAGGAUGCUCACCAAGCACCAAGUUCUCACAAGUUAUUUUAUGUGACUUUGCAGGAACUGAGGCAUUAUAUCUGAGGACACC